GUUUAUUCUCAGUUCAGAGGUCCAGGGUGUCGGGUCUGCAGGAAUUUCCAGGAGUGGGGGUAGCGGAGCAUCUUUGUGUUCCUCUCCUGGGGAGAGGACCAGAAUCUCACAGGCUCAGGGUUCAUUCUCAGUUCCUUUUUAUUCCCCAACCCUUUACCGAGACGAUAAAUCUGCUGCAUGUUUAAGGACACAUCCACAUCCAGAUGAAUUUAGUGUGAAGGACAGUGGAGAAGGAGACAGAGGAUUGAAUGACAGCAGUUCUGAUAUCAGUAGAGAGGGCUUCAAGAAAGCAUCCUACCAAAUGAUUGCAAAGCAAGGGGGUAGGUUCAAACCUGUGACUUCCAAUCUCUUCCUCUCAAAGUCAUUGUCAUACUUAUAUGAAUCACUGAAAAAUAAACUAUACAAGUGGCCCAUCUGUACAUUCAUA